CUGAGCCGAAGGCAGCCGCCCAACCGACUGAGCCACCCAGGCGCCCCCUUACCUGCAUUUUAUAACGGGAUGGUAGUGCGGGCCAUUUCUGCCAGCAGCCGGUCCAAUGUGGGUGAAGACCUCAACCAAAGGCCAAACAUCUGGGCCACAGUGAUCUUGCUUCCGGCAGAGGUGGAUCCUGUGACAGUCUUUGCCUCGCUUUCCCCAGAGGGCCUGCUGAUCAUCGAAGCUCCCCAGGUCCCCCCUUACUCACCAUUUGGAGAGAGCAAUUUCAACAAUGAGCUUCCCCAAGACAGCCAGGAAGUCACCUGUUCCUGAGACCCCAGUCUUGGCCCAUCUUUUUCCCUCCCCAACCCCAGGGCUUCUCUGAUUCCUGGGUACAUGACUUUAGCUGAAUUCGUAGAUUUAGUGUGACUCAAAUGUUGGGGGGGGGGGGUUGCAGGGUGGCCUGACCACCGACUCCCUGGAUAGGGUAGUAGUAGGUGUUUCCAUAGGAUGGCGCAAUUGGCAGGCCAUGCUCAGUUGCCUGAAGCCAAAAUGCUGGGAGAUUUUCUUUCUUUCCCUUUUCUCUCAUGAUGAAAAUGUUGCCCAUUCUGUAGUUGCAAAACAGAAGGGGACAUGACAUUUCACACUGUAUCUUCCCUUGCAGCGAAUGCAAGGGUUGCUUCUCUCUGGGGACCUCCCUGUCACCCAGAUUCCUGUUCUGGGUUCCCACUUUCCAUGCCUGCCCCAUGGUUUGCUGGAUGGAGUCCAUUAGCUCACUCUACUGUGUUUCCGCAGUGCUGGCCUACAAAGGGGGAUAGCUAGGUCUUACCCCCCAUAUGGGAUUUAUCCAACAGCCACAUGAAAACAGUGCCUUCUGCUCUUCACCCAAGCGUUUAUAUAGCAUGUUCCCAAGUUGGCACUCCCUGAGGACUCUGGAAGCCCAUUCAUUCUCUGCCUAAAGUGCUCCCCCUCUCCCGCUUCUUGUGCCUCCUAUGUCCAAUUUGGGAUUUUUACAGAGGGGGCUGUCUCCAAACAGCUCCACCAGGAACCAAGCAAAGGCCAGACAGACUGGUAGGCAGGCUAGUGGUAUUAUGUAUAUGAGUGGGACUUGUGUGUCAUUGUUAUUUGAAUUGUGCUGUUGUUUGGGGGGGGAAUAACAGUAAAUAAUAGUAAUAAUAAAAGAGCUGAUGUUCUUA